AACGAACGCUGGCGGCAUGCCUAACACAUGCAAGUCGAACGAAGUCUUCGGACUUAGUGGCGCACGGGUGCGUAACGCGUGGGAAUCUGCCCUUGGGUACGGAAUAACUCAGAGAAAUUUGUGCUAAUACCGUAUAAUGUCGUAAGACCAAAGAUUUAUCGCCCAAGGAUGAGCCCGCGUAAGAUUAGCUAGUUGGUAGGGUAAAAGCCUACCAAGGCGACGAUCUUUAGCUGGUCUGAGAGGAUGAUCAGCCACACUGGGACUGAGACACGGCCCAGACUCCUACGGGAGGCAGCAGUGGGGAAUAUUGGACAAUGGGCGAAAGCCUGAUCCAGCAAUGCCGCGUGAGUGAUGAAGGCCCUAGGGUUGUAAAGCUCUUUUACCCGGGAUGAUAAUGACAGUACCGGGAGAAUAAGCUCCGGCUAACUCCGUGCCAGCAGCCGCGGUAAGUCUCGCGUGA
rnacentral:rRNA from 1 species